rnacentral:rRNA from 1 species
GAUGAACGCUGGCGGCGUGCUUAACACAUGCAAGUCGAACGGAAAGGCCCCUUUGGGGGUACUCGAGUGGCGAACGGGUGAGUAACACGUGAGUAACCUGCCCUUGACUUCGGGAUAACUUCAGGAAACUGGGGCUAAUACCGGAUAGGAAUCCUUGCUGCAUGGUGGGGGUUGGAAAGCUUCGGCGGUUUUGGAUGGACUCGCGGCUUAUCAGCUUGUUGGUGGGGUAGUGGCUUACCAAGGCUUUGACGGGUAGCCGGCCUGAGAGGGCGACCGGCCACAUUGGGACUGAGAUACGGCCCAGACUCCUACGGGAGGCAGCAGUGGGGAAUAUUGCACAAUGGGCGGAAGCCUGAUGCAGCAACGCCGCGUGCGGGAUGACGGCCUUCGGGUUGUAAACCGCUUUCAGCAGGGGCGAAGCUUGUGGUGACGGUACCUGCAGAAGAAGCACCGGCUAACUACGUG